rfam:Myotis davidii contig62817, whole genome shotgun sequence.
GGCAGUUCUCGGGUAACACAACCAGGAAGCGGACUCCCUCCUCCCUGGUUCCAGGGUGCUUCACCAGAGAACCGCC